UACGUAGGGCGCGAGCGUUGUCCGGAUUUAUUGGGCGUAAAGAGCUCGUAGGCGGUGUGUCACGUCGGCCGUGAAAACCUGCAGCUUAACUGUGGGCGUGCGGUCGAUACGGGCAUCACUGGAGUUCGGCAGGGGAGACUGGAAUUCCUGGUGUAGCGGUGAAAUGCGCAGAUAUCAGGAGGAACACCCGUGGCGAAGGCGGCUCUCUGGGACGGUACUGACGCUGAGACGCGAAAGCGUGGGGAGCGAACAGG
rnacentral:rRNA from 1 species